rnacentral:rRNA from 1 species
UGGGGAAUUUUGGACAAUGGGCGAAAGCCUGAUCCAGCAAUGCCGCGUGUGUGAAGAAGGCCUUCGGGUUGUAAAGCACUUUUGUCCGGAAAGAAAUCCUUGGCUCUAAUACAGUCGGGGGAUGACGGUACCGGAAGAAUAAGCACCGGCUAACUACGUGCCAGCAGCCGCGGUAAUACGUAGGGUGCAAGCGUUAAUCGGAAUUACUGGGCGUAAAGCGUGCGCAGGCGGUUUGCUAAGACCGAUGUGAAAUCCCCGGGCUCAACCUGGGAACUGCAUUGGUGACUGGCAGGCUAGAGUAUGGCAGAGGGGGGUAGAAUUCCACGUGUAGCAGUGAAAUGCGUAGAGAUGUGGAGGAAUACCGAUGGCGAAGGCAGCCCCCUGGGCCAAUACUGACGCUCAUGCACGAAAGCGUGGGGAGCAAACAGGAUUAGAUACCCCUGGUAGUCCACGCCCUAAAACGAUGUCAACUAGUUGUUGGGGAUUCAUUUUCCUUAGUAACGUAGCUAACGCGCGAAGUUGACCGCCU